rnacentral:lncRNA from 1 species
UAGCUCACUAAUUUACUCUUAAUCCUAGUUCAUUUUGCUAUAUAUCUCACCUUUUGAAUUCAUUUUUAUUUCCAUGUUCUUUGGAUUUUUUUUCAUAAAAUACUCUUCUAAUUUUAUAGAAACUGUAAACAUAUCCAUACACUUUCAUUAUAGACCUAGUCUGUUCGCUCUAUUAAAUAUUCUUUCCAUAUGUUAGUUUUCUACUUUUUGAAUUGGAGUUCUUUCUUUGGUAGUUUUGGUUUUCCUCAAAUAUUUAUAGAUUCUUAGUUUCUAUGUGUGUAUUUUUCAGGAAUGUUCCCUGUUUGCCUGCUUGUGGAUGCAUGUUUUGACUACAGAAGCUAGUCUUUGGAGAGAUACAAGUACUACAAAACAUGGCUUCCCUGGAAGAGAUUGCAACUAUAUCUGAACUAAAGCACUUGACCAAGAAUCUUCUAUGUGCUGAUACAAAAACAGAAAUACAAAAAUAUCACAUGGCAUUUCCACUCUUACUAGAAGCACCAAGAAUCUCAGAGGCUCUCGUGUCAGCCCAGCAUCUGUAUUCAUUUCCAUGAGGGCACAGCAGGUGAGAGAGUGGAUUUGUUAAGCUGGGUGAGUUUAUCCUUCUUUUAUGUGUUCAUUCAAUUUUAUGUUCAUUUACUUAUUGUACACAUAUGGCAAUAGAAGCUGCUAAAGCAAAGCAAUCACUGUUAUCCUGCAAAACAACAAGGCACAGAAGCAGAUGUCUUAGUUCUGAGAUUUUUUUCCCCCAGGAUUAUUAUGAUUAAAGAUCCUUCCCCUCAUCCCUCUUUGAAGAGGACCAGGGGCUGCUUGCUAGAGGUUUUAUUUAAUGACUUGGGGAAA